UACGGGGGGAGCAAGCGUUGUUCGGAAUCACUGGGCGUAAAGGGCGUGUAGGCGGUUCGGUAAGUGGGAUGUGAAAUGCCCCGGCUCACCCGGGGACCUGCAUCCCAAACUGCUGAGCUUGAGUACAGGAGAGGGUGGGGGAAUUCCUGGUGUAGCGGUGAAAUGCGUAGAUAUCAGGAGGAACACCGGUGGCGAAGGCGCCCACCUGGCCUGCUACUGACGCUGAUGCGCGAAAGCUAGGGGAGCAAAC
rnacentral:rRNA from 1 species